rnacentral:rRNA from 1 species
UACGAAGGGUGCAAACGUUAUUCGGAAUCACUGGGCGUAGAGGGUGCGUAGACGGUAUGUUAAGUUUGUUGUUAAAGGCUCCGGCCUAACCGGAGUAUUGCGAUGAAGACUGGCAAGCUAGAGGGUGAGAGAGAGAAGUGGAAUUCCCGGAGUAGCGGUAAAAUGCGUGGAUCUCGGGAGGAACACCAAUGGCGAAGGCAGCUUCUUGGUUCAUUCCUGACGUUGAGGCACGAAAGCGUGGGGAGCAAACAGG